rnacentral:rRNA from 1 species
ACGGGAGGCAGCAGUGGGGAAUAUUGCACAAUGGGGGAAACCCUGAUGCAGCGACGCCGCGUGAGUGAAGAAGUAUUUCGGUAUGUAAAGCUCUAUCAGCAGGAAAGAUAAUGACGGUACCUGACUAAGAAGCCCCGGCUAACUACGUGCCAGCAGCCGCGGUAAUACGUAGGGGGCAAGCGUUAUCCGGAUUUACUGGGUGUAAAGGGAGCGUAGACGGUUUUGCAAGUCUGAAGUGAAAGCCCGGGGCUCAACCCCGGGACUGCUUUGGAAACUGUAGAACUAGAGUGCAGGAGAGGUAAGUGGAAUUCCUAGUGUAGCGGUGAAAUGCGUAGAUAUUAGGAGGAACACCGGUGGCGAAGGCGGCUUACUGGGCUGUAACUGACGUUGAGGCUCGAAAGCGUGGGGAGCAAACAGGAUUAGAUACCCUGGUA